rnacentral:misc_RNA from 1 species
UCAAACUUGGUCAUUUAGAGGAAGUAAAAGUCGUAACAAGGUCUCCGUUGGUGAACCAGCGGAGGGAUCAUUAGCGAGUUAAACAAAAACUCCCAACCCAUGUGAACGCUACCUUUUGUUGCCUCGGCGGGGCCGCGUCCCGAGAGCGCCGAAAACGGCAGUAGUCGCACUCCGCCCCGCAUGCGGGGCCGGGAGCGCAGCCGUGGCGGUAGUAGGGGCCGCCCGCCGAAGGUCCACUAAACUCUGUUUAUUUUAUAGCUGUAACGUCUGAAAAACUAAAUUAUUAAAUCAAUUACAACUUUCAACAACGGAUCUCUUGGCUCUGGCAUCGAUGAAGAACGCAGC